rnacentral:rRNA from 1 species
GACGAACGCUGGCGGCGUGCUUAACACAUGCAAGUCGAACGGAAAGGCCCUGCUUUUGUGGGGUGCUCGAGUGGCGAACGGGUGAGUAACACGUGAGUAACCUGCCCUUGACUUUGGGAUAACUUCAGGAAACUGGGGCUAAUACCGGAUAGGAGCUCCUGCUGCAUGGUGGGGGUUGGAAAGUUUCGGCGGUUGGGGAUGGACUCGCGGCUUAUCAGCUUGUUGGUGGGGUAGUGGCUUACCAAGGCUUUGACGGGUAGCCGGCCUGAGAGGGUGACCGGCCACAUUGGGACUGAGAUACGGCCCAGAAUCCUACGGGAGGCAGCAGUGGGGAAUAUUGCACAAUGGGCGGAAGCCUGAUGAAGCAACGCCGCGUGCGGGAUGACGGCCUUCGGGUUGUAAACCGCUUUCGCCUGUGACGAAGCGUGAGUGACGGUAAUGGGUAAAGAAGCACCGGCUAACUACGUG